rnacentral:rRNA from 1 species
UAGGGAAUCUUCGGCAAUGGACGAAAGUCUGACCGAGCAACGCCGCGUGAGUGAAGAAGGUUUUCGGAUCGUAAAACUCUGUUGUUAGAGAAGAACAAGGACGUUAGUAACUGAACGUCCCCUGACGGUAUCUAACCAGAAAGCCACGGCUAACUACGUGCCAGCAGCCGCGGUAAUACGUAGGUGGCAAGCGUUGUCCGGAAUUACUGGGCGUAAAGCGCACGCAGGCGGUUUGUUAAGUCAGAUGUGAAAUCCCCGGGCUCAACCUGGGAACUGCAUCUGAUACUGGCAAGCUUGAGUCUCGUAGAGGGGGGUAGAAUUCCAGGUGUAGCGGUGAAAUGCGUAGAGAUCUGGAGGAAUACCGGUGGCGAAGGCGGCCCCCUGGACGAAGACUGACGCUCAGGUGCGAAAGCGUGGGGAGCAAACAGG